CCUACGGGAGGCAGCAGUGGGGGAUAUUGCACAAUGGGGGAAACCCUGAUGCAGCGACGCCGCGUGGGUGAAGAAGCGCCUCGGCGCGUAAAGCCCUGUCAGCAGGGAAGAAAAUGACGGUACCUGAAGAAGAAGCCCCGGCUAACUACGUGCCAGCAGCCGCGGUAAUACGUAGGGGGCAAGCGUUAUCCGGAUUUACUGGGUGUAAAGGGGGCGCAGACGGCGAUGCAAGCCAGGAGUUAAAGCCCGGGGCCCAACCCCGGGACUGCUGUUGGAACUGCGUGGCUAGAGUGCAGGAGGGGCAGGCGGAAUGCCUGGUGUAGCGGUGAAAUGCGUAGAUAUCAGGCGGAACACCGGUGGCGAAGGCGGCCUGCUGGACUGCAACUGACGUUGAGGCCCGAAAGCGUGGGGAGCAAACAGGAUUAGAUACCCCUGUAGUC
rnacentral:rRNA from 1 species